rnacentral:tRNA from 1 species
GGAGUUGUGGCUCAGUGGUAGAGUGCUUGCCUCACAUGUAUGAGGCACUGGGUUCAAUUCUCAGCACCA